rnacentral:rRNA from 1 species
UAAGAACGGCCAUGCACCACCACCCACAGAAUCAAGAAAGAGCUAUCAAUCUGUCAAUCCUUACUAUGUCUGGACCUGGUGAGUUUCCCCGUGUUGAGUCAAAUUAAGCCGCAGGCUCCACUCCUGGUGGUGCCCUUCCGUCAAUUCCUUUAAGUUUCAGUCUUGCGACCAUACUCCCCCUGGAACUCAAAGACUUUGAUUUCUCAAAAAAUGCCGAAGGAAUCAACAGGCAACCGCCUCCAAUUUCUUGGUAGCAUAGUUUAUGGUUAAGACUAGGACGGUAUCUAAUCGUCUUCGAUCCCCUAACUUUCGUUCUUGAUUAAAGAAGACAUCCUUGGCAAAUGCAUUCGCAUUGGUUUGUCUUUAACAAAUCCAAGAAUUUCACCUCUGACAGUUAAAUACAAAUGCCCCCAACCAUCCCCAUCAAUC